rnacentral:misc_RNA from 1 species
GCAUUUUUCUGUGCUCCUGUGAGUUUAUAUUUUCAAUCCUAAUUCAAUUCUGUUUCUUUUUAUUUUCCUAUAUCAAUGGCUACUUAUCCAAGAAAUACUAGCAAGAAUGUGAUGAUUGGCACUAUCGUGAUUGGGAGAAACCCACCAGCAAUCGCAGUAACUCAAAAUGUGAUUGGGCCACCAUUGCACUUAGUGGCCAAGUCUCACCACGCAAUGCUAGAUGCCACCAGCUAAGAUUGACCAACAAAGCCAA